rnacentral:rRNA from 1 species
UGGUGGAUUGAUCUGUCUGGUUAAUUCCGAUAACGAACGAGACCUUAACCUACUAACUAGUUCCCAGCAUUCCGAUGCUGGUAGCUUCUUAGAGGGACAAUGUGUGGCAAACACAUGGAAGUUUGAGGCAAUAACA